rnacentral:misc_RNA from 1 species
UCUCCGUUGGUGAACCAGCGGAGGGAUCAUUACAAAGUUGCAAAACUCCCAAACCAUUGUGAACGUUACCUAUCCCGUUGCUUCGGCGGGCGGCCCGGGCCCCGCGCCCGGCGCCCCCCGGCCCCCCGUGGGCGCCCGCCGGAGGUAAACCAAACCCUUGAAUUGCAUGGCCUCUCUGAGUCUUCUGUACUGAAUAAGUCAAAACUUUCAACAACGGAUCUCUUGGUUCUG